rnacentral:rRNA from 1 species
UAGGGAAUCUUCCACAAUGGGCGAAAGCCUGAUGGAGCAACGCCGCGUGUGUGAUGAAGGGUUUCGGCUCGUAAAACACUGUUGUAAGAGAAGAAUGACAUUGAGGGUAACUGUUCAAUGUGUGACGGUAUCUUACCAGAAAGGAACGGCUAAAUACGCGCCAG